GACGAACGCUGGCGGCGUGCUUAACACAUGCAAGUCGAACGGAAAGGCCCUGCUUUUGUGGGGUGCUCGAGUGGCGAACGGGUGAGUAAAACGUGAGUAAACUGCCCUUGACUUUGGGAUAACUUCAGGAAACUGGGGCUAAUACCGGAUAGGAGCUACUGCUGCAUGGGGGGGGUUGGAAAGUUUCGGCGGUUUGGGAUGGACUCGCGGCUUAUCAGCUUGUUGGUGGGGUAGUGGCUUACAAAGGCUUUGACGGGUAGCCGGCCUGGGAGGGUGGCCGGCCACCUGGGGCCUGAGGUACGGCCCAGACUCCUACGUGACGCAGCAGUGGGGAAUAUUGCACAGUGGGCGGAAGCCUGAUGCGGCAACGCCGCGUUCGGGAUGACGGCCUUCGGGUUGUAAACCGCUUUCGCCUUUGACGUAGCGUGAUUGACGGUAAUGGGUAAGGAAGCACCGGCUAACUACGUG
rnacentral:rRNA from 1 species